CUACGGAGGGUGCAAGCGUUAUUCGGAAUCACUGGGCGUAAAGGACGCGUAGGCGGGUUGGCAAGUCAGAUGUGAAAUCCUACAGCUUAACUGAAGAACUGCAUUUGAAACUGCUAACCUAGAGUAUGGGAGGGGGAGAUGGAAUUAGUGGUGUAGGGGUAAAAUCCGUAGAUAUCACUAGGAAUACCGAAAGCGAAGGCGAUCUCCUGGAACAUAACUGACGCUAAGGCGUGAAAGCGUGGGGAGCAAACAGGAUUAGAUACCCUAGUAGUCC
rnacentral:rRNA from 1 species